rnacentral:rRNA from 14 species
UUUAAAGAAAGCGUAACAGCUCACUGGUCUAAAUAAGGGUUCCUGCGGCGAAAAUGUAACGGGGCUAAAGAUAUGCACCGAAGCUUAGGGUUCAGAAUUUAUUCUGAGCGGUAGCGGAGCGUUCCGUAGGCGAGUGAAGCGGGAGGGUAACCGACCGUGGACGUAUCGGAAGUGCGAAUGCUGACAUGAGUAGCGACAAACAGGGUGAGAUACCCUGUCGCCGAAAGACCAAGGGUUCCUACGCAAUGCUAAUCAGCGUAGGGUGAGCCGGCCCCUAAGACGAGCCCGAAGGGGGUAGUCGAUGGGAACACGGUUAAUAUUCCGUGACCUGGUGGAAUGUGACGGAUCUCGUGUGUUGUCUGAUCUUAUUGGAUUGAUCAGGCUUCGAAGAGGUUCCAGGAAAUAGCUCCACCAUAUAGACCGUACCCUAAACCGACACAGGUGGGCAGGUAGAGUAUACCAAGGCGCUUGAGAGAAGUAUCCUGAAGGAACUCGGCAAAUUGCCUCCGUACCUUCGGAAGAAGGAGGCCCCAUCUUAAGGCAACUUUUGGUGGGGGGCACAGGCCAGGGGGUAGCGACUGUUUAUCAAAAACACAGGGCUCUGCGAAGU